CUCGACAUAGCUCAGUUGGUAGAGCGGAGGACUGUAGUCGUCGCAGAAAAUCCUUAGGUCACUGGUUCGAAUCCGGUUGUCGAGA
rnacentral:tRNA from 1 species